CCUAACACAUGACAAGUCGAGGGUAUAGUUCUUCGGAAUUAGAGACCGGCGCACGGUGCGUAACGCGUAUGCAAUCUACCUUUCACAGAGGGAUAGCCCAGAGAAAUUUGGAUUAAUACCUCAUAGUAUAGCAGUUUCGCAUGAAACCACUAUUAAAGUCACAACGGUGAAAGAUGAGCAUGCGUCCCAUUAGCUAGUUGGGUAAGGUUAACGGGCUUACCAAGGCAACGAUGGGUAGGGGUCCUGAGAGGGAGAUCCCCCACACUGGUACUGAGACACGGACCAGACUCCUACGGGAGGCAGCAGUGAGGAAUAUUGGACAAUGGGCGCAAGCCUGAUCCAGCCAUGCCGCGUGCAGGAUGACGGUCCUAUGGAUUGUAAACUGCUUUUAUACAGGAAGAAACACUACUUCGUGAAGUAGCUUGACGGUACUGUAAGAAUAAGGAUCGGCUAACUCCGUG
rnacentral:rRNA from 1 species